rnacentral:rRNA from 1 species
UACGAAGGGGGCUAGCGUUGCUCGGAAUCACUGGGCGUAAAGGGUGCGUAGGCGGGUCUUUAAGUCAGGGGGGAAAUCCUGGAGCUCAACUCCAGAACUGCCUUUGAUACUGAGGAUCCUGAGUUCGGGAGAGGUGAGUGGAACUGCGAGUGUAGAGGUGAAAUUCGUAGAUAUUCGCAAGAACACCAGUGGCGAAGGCGGCUCACUGGCCCGAUACUGACGCUGAGGCACGAAAGCGUGGGGAGCAAACAGG